GGGAAUGUAGCUCCUCUCGAGGAGUGUUAUAGCCCGUUGCGAAAUGCGGCCAGCUUGGACUGAGGUCCGCGCUUCGGCUAGGAUGCUGGCGUAAUGGUUGUAAGCGGCCCGUCUUGAAACACGGACCAAGGAGUCUAACAUCUGUGCGAGUGUUUGGGUGUCAAACCCGUACGCGUAAUGAAAGUGAACGGAGGCGGGAACCUCUCGGGGUGCACCGUCGACCGAUCCUGAUGUCUUCGGAUGGAUUUGAGUAAGAGCAUAGCUGUUGGGACCCGAAAGAUGGUGAACUAUGCCUGAAUAGGGUGAAGCCAGAGGAAACUCUGGUGGAGGCUCGCAGCGGUUCUGACGUGCAAAUCGAUCGUCAAAUUUGGGCAUAGGGGCGAAAGACUAAUCGAACUAUCUAGUAGCUGGUUCCUGCCGAAGUUUCCCUCAGGAUAGCAGUAACGUUUUCAGUUUUAUGAGGUAAAGCGAAUGAUUAGAGGCCUGGGGGUUGAAACAACCUUCACCUAUUCUCAAACUUUAAAUAUGUAAGAAGUCCUUGUUGCUUAGUUGAACGUGGACAUUUGAAUGUAUCGUUACUAGUGGGCCAUUUUUGGUAAGCAGAACUGGCGAUGCGGGAUGAACCGAACGCGGAGUUAAGGUGCCGGAAUGCACGCUCAUCAGACACCACAAAAGGUGAUGGUUCAUCUAG
rnacentral:rRNA from 1 species